rnacentral:tRNA from 1 species
GCGCUCAUGGUGAAAUGGAUAUCAUCCUUGACUUCGGAUCAAGUGUUCUGGGUUCGAGUCCUGGUGGGCGCA